UUGUUUCAGUGGGUUUAAGCCCCCUAGAAGUGCCAAGUAGAAGGACCUCCCUGUAAAUAGUGAUCAAGGUCCUUCGCCUCCAAACAAAUGAUUUGGGUAUCCAUUACAUAUCUGUAGCUCAAGGACCAUGCUUAAAUAUGGGCUCGGGUCUCUUUCUGUUUAACACCUUUGGAACCUAAUCUUUUAAAUGCCCUGUGUGAUUCACCUCUCCUUGCAACAAGGGUUCAAUCCCCACCCCUGAGAUGGAGUGGCCUCCCACUGAGCUGGAGGUAGGGUGAUCAGAUAUCUCGAUUUUAUACGGACAGUCCUGAUUUUUGGGUCUUUUUCUUAUAUAGCCUCCUAUUACCCCCCACCCUCUGUCCCGAUUUUUCACAUUUGCUGUUUGGUCACCCUAGCUGGAGGGGGAGGGACCACUCUCUGAUCCCUAAUGGGUGGAGCCAGGCUGGGCUCACCCCUCCUGCAAGAAGCUAAGGGGGUGGGGCAGGAAGUAUAAAAGGCAGAGCCACUAAUAUAGCUCAUCUUGAGACAGGGAAGGGAGUGGAUGUUUCCAGAGCCUGCAGCUGCACUAUGCUCUGCCUGAGGAUGAGGCUAACCUAGGAGAAAUGCUGGGAUUGCUGCUUGCUGUGUACCUUGAGAAGAUGGAGGAUGACCCUGAGCUGCAGCGUCGUGAAUCGUGUGGGGAACUCCAUUUAAGGUGGUGUAGCUCGAUGCCCUCACAGAGGCAAUGGAUCAAAUAUAUCUGGACAGCAUGGAACAGACCUUUCUGCGGGGAAGACCAGGAGCACGUCGUGAUCAAUGCGCACCUAGCAAUCGAGGCUGCUGGAAGCCAGAGCGUGGCCGGUGUUUUCUUUCUGACUUGCCGGAUCAUGGCUGUGGCGAUACACGGACGUUCAGGGAGUGACCCGCAAGUCGUUUGGCAGUGAGCGGUCCUGCUUGGGAGCCACGGCAGCAAGGCAUUGUGAGGCACCCCACGCUGCAGGGGAGGUUGUGUAUUUCUAGGGUGAUUGUACAAGUUAUAAAGCUCUUCAUGUCACUAAAAUCCAGCUCAUCAGUUGGUUACAAUUCUUCCACUCAUUACUCCUGGGGGAAUUGGGCACCCCUGUGUGUGUGCAGAAUUUAUGUCCCUCGCAAAUUUCUUUGCUUCCCCACAGAAAAAUGACUUUUUGAUGAGGAAGCUGCAAGAGCGAUCGUGCAGCCUUCCCAGCAGUACGUUUUGGUGUCCAGGGCAGCCGGCAGAGAGGCCGAGCGGUACUAUCGCAACAUGUGGAUUACCUCCUUUGCGUUGCCUGGGCGUUCAGUUCGGCCUGCCUUCCGGUUAUAAUGCAGAGCAAUCCCAGGGCUGCUGCAAUCCACCUCCUGGGACCAGGAGGUU